UAGCCCGCGGCGGUCUUUGUCCCGUUGCCUAGCGCCUUUCCGAGCCUCUCCUCUUGGUCGUCUUGCGGUGCUUGGUGUCGUCGGUGAGGCCGCGUGCCAGGAAGGUUCGGAUGCAAGGAGGGCGUUAAAGGACAGGUGUGGCCCGGCCUCCGAGGGGCCUCCUUAAAGAGGCCGGGUCCCCUCCGCUCGCCCCCUUCGCGGCCGCUGGCGCCCGCGUUGGGCCGGCAGAGAGGAGCGGUGAGGGCGCACCUGCGAAGUGUUUUCGGCCACGGUGCCUCCUUGUUCAAAUUCCUCCUAAGUAACCGUUGUGACUCUUCUCCAGGAGGAUGAGAAUUUCCGCUGGGCAAGUCAGGUUGGCCCGGCCCUGCGGUGGUCACCGCCCUGUCGCUCCUGGCUGUCCCGAUGAUAUGGAAGAUGGAGGUGUGCUUUUCUCAAAGAAUUGAUCCAUUCACGACCAUUUAUCAGGUGUCUACAGUGUGUUCGGGCAUGUGCUGCAUUAGAGGGAAAUAAGAAAAGAGCUCCGAGUCCAGGUGUGGUGAGACAAGGUCAUGUUUAAGAGUUUCCAUUGAAGCCAUGUGACUGGAGUGAGUAUAGGAUUCAGUGACCUUUGGUGAUGUGCCUGUGGACUUCACCUUGGAGGAAUGGACUUUUCUGGAUCCCUCUUAGAGAACCUUACGCAGAGAUGCGGUACUGGAGAACUCCAAGAACCUGAGUACGGUUAUCAACUCUUUAAACACACUUUUAUCUCAUGGUUGGAACAAGAAGAGUUGAGGACAAUGGAGAGAGGUAUUCCUCAGGGUGAGUGUGAAGAACAUCCCUCAUCAAUGAGAAGUUCAGUAUGUUUGGAAAUGUAACAAGAGGCUUCUUACAAGGUAUGGUUGACAUAUGACAUAUUAGUUCCAGAUACGACAUAAUGAUCCAGUAUUUGUAUAUAUUUUGAAAUGACUACCACACUAAGUUUAGUUAAAAUCUAUCACCAUAUAUAGCUACAAAGUUGUGGGUUUUUUUUGUGAUGAGAACUUUUAAGAUUUACUCUUAGCAACUUUGAAAUAUAAAGUACAGAGGCACCGGGGUGGCUCAGUCAGUUAAGCAUCUGACUCUUCAUUUCGGCUUGGGUCAUGGUCUCACAGUUUGUGGGUUCAAGCCCCGCAUCAGACUCUGUGCUGACGGCACAAGCCCGCUUGGGAUUCUCUCUCUCUCUACCUCUCCCCCACUCACUCUCUCAAAAGUAAGUAAACUUAAAAAAAAGAAAUAUAAAAUACAGUAUUAUUAACUAUCAUCACCAUGCUGUAUAUUCCAUUCCCAUGACAUUUUAUAACUAGAAGUUUAUACCUUUUGACCCAUUCACCCAUUUCACUCAACCCCCACCCCCUCCUCUGGCAACCACCAAUCUGUUCUCUGGAUGUUUGAACUUUGUUGUGGUUUUUUGUUUCGAUUUUUUGAUUCCACAUACCAGUGAGAUGGUAUUUGUGGUUUUUUUUACUUAUUUCACUUAUCAUAAUGCCUCAAAGACCAUUCAUGUUGUAAAUGGCAAGAGUUCUUUCUUUUUAUGAGUGAAUAGUAUUCCAUUGUGUAUAUGUACCACAUUUUCCUUAUUUCUUCAUCUGUUAGUGAAUACUUAAGUUGUCCCCAUAUCUUGGCUGUUGUAAAUAAUGCUGCAAUGAACUUGAGGGUGCAUGUAUCUUUAUCAGUUAGUGUUUUUGAUUUAUUUGGAUAAAUUCCCAGAAGUUGAAUUGUUGGGUCAUAUGAGAAUUCUUUUUUUUUUUUUUUUCUUUAACGUUUAUUUUUGAGAGAGAGAAUACAAGCAUGGGAGGGGCAGAGAGAGAGAGAGAGAAGGGGACAGAGGAUCUGGAGCGGGCUCUACACUGGCAGCUGUGAACCAAACAUGGGCUCGAAAUCACAAACCACGAGAUCAUGACCUGAGUUGAAGUCAGCUGCUCAACCAACUGAGCCACCCAGUUGCCCCAAUGACCAUUCGAUCGUUCGUUCUUUCUAUCUAUCUAUCUAUCAACAUGUAGAAUCAUCACACAAGUCUGUUCACUUUAUGAAAAUCAUGGUAUACAUUUAAGAGUUUUUGUAGUUUCCUUUAUUAUUUACUUUACAUCCAAGUUAGUUAGCAUAUGGUGCAAUAAUGAUUUCAGGAGUAGACUCCUUAAUGCCCCUUACCCAUUUAGCCCAUGCUCCCUCCCUGUUUUUAUAUUAUUUUUGCUUCCCUUCUCUUAUGUUCAUCUGUUUUGUAUCUUAAAGUCCUCAUAUGAGUGAAGUCAUAUGAUUUUUGUCUUUCUCUGACUAAUUUCACUUAGCAUAAUACCCUCUAGUUCCAUCCACGCAGUUACAAAUGGAAUGAUAGUUCUAUUUAAAUUGUUCGAGGCCAUAUGGUAUAAGUAGGUUUAAACCUGUCCUGAGUUGGUGGAUGCUCCAUAUCUCAUUGAACCAGUCUCUUCGUCCUGAGAAUAGGUUAGUUCAGUUAAAGAUUUGUGUCUUAUUUCAGGAGGCAGUGAUACAGGUGGGUUACCCAAGUUAGGCCUAUAUGGUACAAACAGUUGGGUAUUUAAUAAGAAACAUUUCUGUGGAAACAAAAGAAAAUAAAAAAGGUUAAUGGUUGGAGUAGAUUGUAAUCCCAGUUUUUGAGUCCUGAAGGUAGCCAGUCAAGAUUUCUAGAUGCCAGACUUGACGCACGUUCAGAUGCACUGAGGGCAGGCAGUAUAUAAGCUGAUGGAUUUUACUUGUUUGCAAUUUGAGGGUCUCUGGUGAUCGGAGUGGCCCACAUGGCAGCAGGUAUGAAGAUGGCCCAGCUGCUGUGGUCAUUUCUCUUUUUUAUCAGGUUAUCUCACCUUAGCUGAUAUGGCUUUGUGCCAAGGGCAGUUUUAUUUCUCAAUGAUUCCAAGUUAUAAGGGUAGGGGAAAAAGUUGGAAAUGUUCGUUUGGAGAAUUGUAGCCAGAUCCUGGAGGAAACAAAAAGAAUUUAGUAUCCGGUCUAGUUUACAGAUAGGAAACAAAGCCUUAAAGACAAUUAACAACACUAGAAUUUGAUAUCCACAGAGGUGUAUUACUGAAAUGCAAUUUUUUCUCUAUAAACAGUUACCCCCAUUUGUAUCAGAUAAUUAAAACAACACUAAUUUAUUUGUGAAAUAAGUUUUGUCUCAUUAAAUUUGGCUUGGUUAUUUAAGUGCAGCAAGAAUACUGAUUGACCAUAUAGGCUCCUUUAAGUCUGCUUUGAUGGAACUUUUGAGAGAGCAGGGGAGGGGCAGAGAGAGAGGGAGAGAGAACAUCCCAAGCAGGCUCCACACUGUCAGCACAGAGCUCUGUGUAGGACUCGAACCCACAAGCCGUGAGAUCAUGACCUGAGCUGAAAUCAAGAGUCAGAUGCUUAACCAACUGAGCUACCCAGGUACCCUGAGAUUUAACUUUUAAAAGCCUCUUUAGGCUCAGAAGCCAAGGCAGGAACUUGCCAUAGACUUGGCUUGCAAUACCUAUAGGUUUGGGUGAAUUCCUCUCUUCGUGAGAUCCCCCAACUAUGGUGAAGUUCCUUUGCUUGCCAGAAAGUGAUCUUCCUUACUCACCUGGAAGACUGCUGGGAGCCUUGUAGGCAAGGUACCAGGCCAGUUCUCCCAAGGGGCUUUUUUGUUUUGUUUAAAAAAGUUUUUUUAAUGUUUAUUUAUUUUUAGAGAGAGACGGAGACAGAGCAUGAGUGAGGGAGGGACAGAGAGAGUGAGGGAGACACAGAAUCCGAAGCAGGCUCUAGGCCCUGAGCUGUCAGCACAGAGCCCAACACAGGGCUCAAAUCAUGGACCGUGAGGUCAUGACCUGAGCCAAAGUCGGAUGCUUAACUGACUUAACCACCCAGGUGCCCCUGCGAGGGGCUUUAUUGGUUCCAUAAAGUCCAUCUUAAUUCCUUAAAGCUGUCUGGUAACUGAAUCUAUGAGUAUCAUUCUCAAAUAUGACUUUCUACUUAAAGCCUUGGUGAUAAUAACCAGUGUUUCCAAUUGUGUCCCAUUAUGUGCAAGUGGAAUAGAUUCUUAACGAACCUACGCAAAUAAGUAUAUUGCCCUGAAAAUAAAAGUGCUCACUGAGAGUUUCCAAAUUCUGGACAAAUCACUUAUGGAGAAAAAAGGUAAAUAUUUCAUCCUUGUUCACAAAGGUAUGUAUCUUACCAAGUUGCUGAUAGGUUAAGAGAAAAAGGUUUUAUUAAAUCUGGAAAAAUGAAAACGUGAAGGAACUAUAACUGUUUUACAUAAAAUGUCAUAAAAAUUAUAAUUACACUCACAGUUCAUUCAAUGCCUCAUGUUUUUACUGUUUGCCUUGAAUCCACUUUUUCCAUUAAUUCUAUAAAUUUUUACCCAGUUCAGUUUUAGGAUCUUACAGUUAUUAGAAAUCUGUACUUGUCAAAAAUUCCUUUUCAUGAAUCUCCUUGAAAAUGACCACUUUUAUAGACACUUGCAAAGCAGUGCAGUAAAACAGUAACUAUGUAUAAAUGAAAGAAGACUUUAAACAUUGCCAUUUUUAAGGUCAGAUGAAAGAGUUGAUUAAAUUUAUCA